rnacentral:rRNA from 1 species
AGGGUGAUCCUAUGCUGCCAAGAAAAUCUUCUAGCGAGGUUCUAGCCGCCCGUACCCCAAACCGACUCAGGUGGUUAGGUAGAGAAUACCAAGGCGAUCGAGUGAAUCGUGGUUAAGGAAUUCGGCAAAAUACCCCCGUAACUUCGGGAGAAGGGGGGCCCAGAGGGUGAAGAAGACUUGCUCUUCUAGCCUGAACGGCCGCAGAGACCAGGGAGAAGCGACUGUUUACUAAAAACACAGGUCCGUGCCAAGUCGCAAGACGAUGUAUACGGACUGACGCCUGCCCGGUGCUGGAACGUUAAGGGGACCGGUUAGCCUCACGGCGAAGCUGAGAACUUAAGCGCCAGUAAACGGCGGUGGUAACUAUAACCAUCCUAAGGUAGCGAAAUUCCUUGUCGGGUAAGUUCCGACCUGCACGAAUGGCGUAACGACUUCUCCACUGUCUCAACCACGAACUCGGCGAAAUUGCACUACGAGUAAAGAUGCUCGUUACGCGCAGAAGGACGGAAAGACCCCGGGACCUUUACUACAGCUUGGUAUUGGUGUUCGGUACGGCUUGUGUAGGAUAGGUGGGAGACUGUGAAGCUGAUACGCCAGUAUCGGUGGAGUCAACGUUGAAAUACCACUCUGGUCGUUCUGGAUAUCUAACCUCGGUCCGUGAUCCGGAUCAGGGACAGUGCCUGGUGGGUAGUUUAACUGGGGCGGUUGCCUCCUAAAAGGUAACGGAGGCGCCCAAAGGUUCCCUCAGCCUGGUUGGCAAUCAGGUUUUGAGUGUAAGUGCACAAGGGAGCUUGACUGUGAGAGUGACAACUCGAACAGGGACGAAAGUCGGGACUAGUGAUCCGGCGGUGGCUUGUGGAAGCGCCGUCGCUCAACGGAUAAAAGGUACCCCGGGGAUAACAGGCUGAUCUUGACCAAGAGUCCAUAUCGACGGCAUGGUUUGGCACCUCGAUGUCGGCUCGUCGCAUCCUGGGGCUGGAGUAGGUCCCAAGGGUUGGGCUGUUCGCCCAUUAAAGCGGUACGCGAGCUGGGUUUAGAACGUCGUGAGACAGUUCGGUCCCUAUCCUCUGCGCGCGCAGGAAACUUGAGAAGGGCUGUCCCUAGUACGAGAGGACCGGGAUGGACGAACCUCUGGUGUGUCAGUUGUUCUGCCAAGAGCACCGCUGAUUAGCUACGUUCGGAAGUGAUAACCGCUGAAAGCAUCUAAGCGGGAAGCAUGCUUCAAGAUGAGGUUUCCAUGGGGUUUACCCCGAGAGGCUCCCAGCUAGACUACUGGGUUGAUAGGCCGGAUGUGGAAGUGCGGUAACGCAUGGAGCUGACCGGUACUAAUAAGC